GAUAGAAUAGUUUAAAAAAAACUUUUAAAUUGCAAAUUUAAAAAUGAGAUUCACUCUUCUAUUU